rnacentral:lncRNA from 10 species
CCAGCAGGGCAGCUCCUGGCACAACUCUUGCCCCUGGCAGUUCCAACACGGGGGCCACAGCUUCCCUAGGUGGAAGUGCAACGACAAGAGGUAGAAUAACCACCGCUACCACUGGGGCAUUCUCUGGAAAGACUCUGGAGCCUGGGAACGACAACACAGGC